rnacentral:rRNA from 1 species
AACACAUGCAAGUNGAGCGCCCCGCAAGGGGAGCGGCAGACGGGUGAGUACCGCGUGGGAAUCUGCCCAUCUUUGCGGAAUAACGCAUGGAAUCGUGUGCUAAUACUGUAUAAGUCCGUCGGGAGAAAGAUUUAUCGAAGAUGUAUGAGCCCGCGUUGGAUUAGCUAGUUGGUGGGGUGAAGGCACUUCAAGGCCUCGAUCCAUAGCUCGUUUCACAGGAUGAUCACCCACACUGGGUUUGAGCCUCGGUCCAA